UUCAAACUCCGGUUCCCAUCUGAUCACCGAAGUUAAGCAAAGUUGCACUGGUCAGUAUCUAGAUGAGUGACCGCUAGGGGAUAACAGAUGCUGUAA